GCCUCCGUGGCCCAAUGGAUAAGGCACCGGCCUCCUAAGCCGGGGAUUGCGGGUUCGAGUUCCCGUCGGAGGUA
rnacentral:tRNA from 1 species